rnacentral:tRNA from 1 species
AAUAAAGUGCCUGAUAAAAGGAUUAUUUUGAUAGAAUAAAUUAUAUAUAAAAACUAUAUCUUUAUUA